CCAAACCUGGUUGAUCCUGCCAGUAGUCAUAUGCUUGUCUUAAAGAUUAAUCCAUGCAUGUGUAAGUAUAAGUAUUGUACAGCGAAACUGCGAAUGGCUCAUUACAUCAGUUAUAAUUUAUUUGAUAAUCGAAAGUUACAUGGAUAACCGUGACAAAUUACAGCUAAUACAUGCAGUCAGACCUGGUCCAAGGGU
rnacentral:rRNA from 1 species